UCAGGAUGAACGCUAGCUAUAGGCUUAACACAUGCAAGUCGAGGGGCAGCAUGAUCAAGCUGCUUGAUGAUGGCGACCGGCGCACGGGUGAGUAACGCGUAUCCAACCUUCCCUAUAGUAGAGGAUAGCCCGGCGAAAGUCGGAUUAAUACUCUAUGUUUUCCAAUGCAGACAUCUAAAAUGGAACAAAGGUUUACCGCUAUAGGAUGGGGAUGCGUCUGAUUAGGUUGUUGGCGGGUAACGGCCACCAAGCCUACGAUCAGUAGGGGUUCUGAGAGGAAGGUCCCCCACAUUGGAACUGAGACACGGUCCAAACUCCUACGGGAGGCAGCAGUGAGGAAUAUUGGUCAAUGGGCGAGAGCCUGAACCAGCCAAGUAGCCGUGCAGGAUGACGGCCCUAUGGGUUGUAAACUGCUUUUAUACAGGGAUAAAGUGACCCACGUGUGGGUUUUUGUAGGUACUGUAUGAAUAAGGACCGGCUAAUUCCGUGCCAGCCGCGGC
rnacentral:rRNA from 1 species